rnacentral:tRNA from 1 species
UCCUUGAUAACUCAGUUGGUAAAGAAUCUGCCUAUAAUGCAGGAAAUCUGGGUUCGAUUCCUGGGUCAGGAA